rnacentral:rRNA from 1 species
GAGCGGCCUAUUCCCUAUCAGUUAGUUGGCGAGGUAACGGCUCACCAAGACAAUGACGGGUAGCGGGACUGAGAGGUUGGCCCGCCAUAUCGGGACUGAGACACUGCCCGGACCUCCACGGAGGGCUGCAGUAACGAAUAUUGGGCAAUGGGCGAAAGCCUGACCCAGCGACGCCGCGUGCAGGACGAAGCUCCUCGGAGUGUAAACUGCUGUCAGGGAUAUGUAAGUGCGCUUCGGCGCAUUGAACUACCCCAGAGGAAGUCACGGCUAACUUCGUGCCAGCAGCCGCGGUAAUACGAAGGUGGCAAGCGUUGUUCGGAAUCACUGGGCUUAAAGCGUACGCGGGCGGAUUAUCAAGUGUCCUUUGAAAUCCCACGGCUCAACCGUGGAAUUGGGGGGCAAACUGGUAAUCUUGAGGCAGUUAGGGGUGGGUGGAACUCUUGGUGGAGCGGUGGAAUGCGUAGAUAUCAAGAGGGACGCCAGAGGUGAAAACGACCCACUGGGACUGUCCUGACGCUGAGGUACGAAAGCGUGGGUAGCGAACGGGAUUAGAUACCCCGGUAGUCCACGCCGUAAA